rnacentral:sRNA from 1 species
UUUUAGCCUAGAUGGAAGCGGUAUCCUUUUUCUGUCCGCCGCGGCGGACAGAAAAAGAUAUAGCGGACAGCUGGUCCCGAA